UAUUCACAGGUUUGUGAAAAACCUGAACCGGGGGCAGCAAGCGUGGAUUUCUGUCAACAGUCUCCAGAUCAUUGUUGGGGAUUGCUGCUCUCAAACCUCCAGCUCAUCAGGGUUGGAUAUUCAUGAGAUAAGAAAAGUCAAUUCAUCGCCCUGACCAGAGCAAUCCAGGGGACCUAGCUCCUGGGACAUUCGCCAUAUAGCAAUCUUCUCUUUCCCCUCAAACAGCUUCACCAUAUCCAGGUUUCCUCUGUGUCGGAGGAUCUUUACAGGUAGAAUGUUGUUCCAUGUGCACUUCAUGACACUCGUCAGCAGGGACCAGUGAGCUUCCAAUCCCAUAUAUCAUGGACGAGGUGAAAAGCAAGGUCACUGUGCGAUAAUUUGGCGAAGGAUCUUGAAGGCGUCAAUUUGUGAGCUUCGAGACAGCGGAGGAGUUUCACUGAUGGAAUGAUGAGCAGAAUCUUGACCUCUUAUUGUCAUUAAGUCAAAGACACACACACUGGGGGACAGUACAUUGGCUGCUAUGUUCUCCUGACUGAAUUCACAGUGUACUGAAGGAUGUGUGAUAUGGAGAAGAGGCUCCUGGUUUUGUAAUUGCUGAGUAUUUUAUGUGUGGAUGCGUGAUCAUUCUGAGGAAAUGUUGUUCACGUAAUCCAUAUUUUUAAUCUUGUGUUACACAGUAAAACAAUGUAAGUGUGUGA